CAAACUCARCCAAUCAGAAAGAGGAAUCACAGCAGAGCGACUACAACGCAAUUCUCGACGYGUUACGUCAUGGUGAGCUCUGCAGCCAAGUUUUACAAGCAUAUCAAGUUCCUUGGCAAUUGUUCUCCAAACCUCCAAAAGGCGAGCUACAGUUUCGACUACUCAUUCAAUACCCCAGGCGAACUAGAGGACGUCUUGUCACACGGCCGACGUUGAGUAAGUCUACUUGGCAGACCGAGACUACGAGGUAAAUACAAGGUUUAAGCCAGCUUGCUUAAGACAUGGGAGUUACUUUGGUACGCCGAAACAGUAGCAAAAGAAAGAGCUUUCGCAGAGUGGAGAACAAAGACCGCAACACUMAAAAUGAAACUCAACARCCAACAGAAAGCCAGAUYAGCAACACAAACAAACGCAUUAGCAGAGAAAUUGGGAGCGUCUUGAGAAGAAUAGGAGAUGAAUUAAACAACAGUCAGCUUAACUUGAACACKAUAGUGUGAGAAGAAYCMGYUCUAYUUAGCUGAUCYACAACACAGCAAGRUGKAUCAAACAGAAUUAACAUUCUUGUUAAACACAACAAAUUUUCAAUCAUAUUGAAAAUGAAAACUUUGACAAAGACAUGCGUCCGAAACUUUGGAACCAAGAGGAUCACUAAUCAUUGAUAAAAUCAGCAUCACUUUGAAAUCAAAAGGGUUAAUCACCAAUUUUUAUAGAACACAUUCAUAAUGUUUUUAAUUUGCAUUCCCACAAUUAUGUAAAAAUAUUUAAUUGAUUCAACGUCUGAUUAAAACAAGUGAUUUUUUUACUUAAAUAUUGUAAAAACCUCUAUGCCACUAUAUACACAAAAAGGUGUGGCGGUCUGAUACYAGUAGAUAGCCCAAGAAGAGUCAAGAUGAAGCAUAUACCUUGGUGGGGUGGUCACAAUAUAAAACAAUAGGAAAACUUGC